rnacentral:rRNA from 1 species
GGAUUAGAUACCCUGGUAGUCCACGCCGUAAACGAUGAGUGCUAGUUGUCGGGGGUCAUAGACUUUCGGUGACGCAGCUAACGCAUUAAGCACUCCGCCUGGGGAGUACGGUCGCAAGAUUAAAACUCAAAGGAAUUGACGGGGGCCUGCACAAGCGGUGGAGCAUGUGGUUUAAUUCGAAGCAACGCGCAGAACCUUACCAGCCCUUGACAUCCUCAUCGCGGUUACCAGAGAUGGUUUCCUUCAGUUCGGCUGGAUGAGUGACAGGUGCUGCAUGGCUGUCGUCAGCUCGUGCCG